AGUGAACGCUGGCGGUAGGCCUAACACAUGCAAGUCGAACGGCAGCACAGUAAGAGCUUGCUCUUACGGGUGGCGAGUGGCGGACGGGUGAGGAAUACAUCGGAAUCUACUUUUUCGUGGGGGAUAACGUAGGGAAACUUACGCUAAUACCGCAUACGACCUACGGGUGAAAGCAGGGGAUCUUCGGACCUUGCGCGAUUGAAUGAGCCGAUGUCGGAUUAGCUAGUUGGCGGGGUAAAGGCCCACCAAGGCGACGAUCCGUAGCUGGUCGGAGAGGAUGAUCAGCCACACUGGAACGGAGACACGGUCCAGACUCCUACGGGAGGCAGCAGUGGGGAAUAUUGGACAAUGGGCGCAAGCCUGAUCCAGCCAUACCGCGUGGGUGAAGAAGGCCUUCGGGUUGUAAAGCCCUUUUGUUGGGAAAGAAAAGCAGCAGGUUAAUACCCCGCUGUUCUGACGGUACCCAAAGAAUAAGCACCGGCUAACUUCGUG
rnacentral:rRNA from 1 species